rnacentral:rRNA from 1 species
CCUACGGGUGGCAGCAGUGAGGAAUAUUGGUCAAUGGGCGCAAGCCUGAACCAGCCAAGUAGCGUGAAGGAUGACUGCCCUACGGGUUGUAAACCUCUUUUAUAAGGGAAUAAAGUGAGGCACGUGUGCCUUUUUGUAUGUACUUUAUGAAUAAGGAUCGGCUAACUCCGUUCCAGCAGCCGCGGUAAUACGGGGGAUCCGAGCGUUAUCCGGAUUUUUUGGGGUUAAAGGGAGCGUAGAUGGGUUGGUAAGUCAGUUGUGAAAGUUUGCGGAUCAACCGUAAAAUUGCAAUUGAUACUGGCAGUCUUGAGUACAGGUGAGGUAGGCGGAAUGCGUGGUGUAGCGGUGAAAUGCUUAGAUAUCACGAAGAACUCCGAUUGCGAAGGCAGCUUACUAAACUGCAACUGACACUGAUGCUCGAAAGUGUGGGUAUCGAACAGGAUUAGAUACCCCAGUAGUC